UCUACAUGUGGAGCCCAUCCUCCAGAUGAGUGUGACUACUGGCUUGCCCCAUGCCUCUAUAACAGGCUCCUAAGGGAGUCUUCCUGCAGUAUCUCUCUUCAAGAUCAGCUCACCAGACCUUUUGUGAUCACUCAGGGUCAGUGGUCCAAACAAGAACAUGGCCUCCCGUGCGUCUCAGCAGUGGGGAACAGUCUGCAGUUCUCCUGUGCUAUGGCUUCUGUGACAUUUGUCUGAGAGAUGGGAUGAAGAUGCCGGCCCUGAAACCGACUAUAGUCGUGGAGUCCUAAUACUGGCAUGGCAUUCAGGGGCUUGCCAGUACUUCGUUCCUGACCCUCCGUGUCUACAUUCUACCUGAAGCGUCUCCCAGCUCUAACACACGUGGACCCCAUCCUCCAGGCUCAGAUAUGCAGACUAUCGGUCAUGUCAUGGGACAGCUCAGAGAGACACGGGGAUUGAGGAAUUGCAAGAAGCCCCGGCAGGGAAUGCGAACUGCCAGCAUGUGCUGACCAUCUGUGUCCUCGAAACAUUUGAAUGUGCCCCAAGGUUCAUGUCCUGGACAUGUAAUCCCUGCAGGAUUGGUAUCGAGAGGUGGAGCUCUCACAAGGCAGUCAGAUGCUGGGGUUGUAGCUCUAAAGGAGAAUGUUUGCCGAGCGUGUGUGAGACUCUGGGUUCCAUUGCCCGCAUCUCAAAAGAAGAACGAUGAUUAGGGUCACAGGGGCUCUGCCUCCUGAGUGGACCGAUAUCACUUUGAAGGGAUGGGGCUUAUCAUAAAUGCCUGUUGGCCUAGUCAGGUCACUAUGCUGUGACGAAAGACCACAGUCUAAAGCAAGCUGGG
rnacentral:sRNA from 1 species